UACGCGGGGGGACCAGGACUGGCGAGCUGCGGAGGGAUCAUUACCGAGUUUACAACUCCCAAACCCAAUGUGAACGUUACCAAACUGUUGCCUCGGCGGGAUCUCUGCCCCGGGUGCGUCGCAGCCCCGGACCAAGGCGCCCGCCGGAGGACCAACCAAAACUCUUAUUGUAUACCCCCUCGCGGGUUUUUUUAUAAUCUGAGCCUUCUCGGCGCCUCUCGUAGGCGUUUCGAAAAUGAAUCAAAACUUUCAACAACGGAUCUCUUGGUUCUGGCAUCGAUGAAGAACGCAGCGAAAUGCGAUAAGUAAUGUGAAUUGCAGAAUUCAGUGAAUCAUCGAAUCUUUGAACGCACAUUGCGCCCGCCAGUAUUCUGGCGGGCAUGCCUGUCCGAGCGUCAUUUCAACCCUCGAACCCCUCCGGGGGGUCGGCGUUGGGGAUCGGCCCUGCCUUGGCGGUGGCCGUCUCCGAAAUACAGUGGCGGUCUCGCCGCAGCCUCUCCUGCGCAGUAGUUUGCACACUCGCAUCGGGAGCGCGGCGCGUCCACAGCCGUUAAACACCCAACUUCUGAAAUGUUGACCUCGGAUCAGGUAGGAAUACCCGCUGAACUUAAGCAUAUCAAUAAGCGGAGGAAAAGAAACCAACAGGGAUUGCCCCUUUUACNGGCGGCCUUGGUGUAUUUUAAGGAAAAAAAAAAAGGGGUUUGAUAAAAUAGAGGGGGUGUUUUUGAUUAGUAAGAAUAAAAAAUAAUAGAAGGAUUGAGAGGAUAGGGGUGGGGGUGUUUGUUAUUNGNGAUAUUUGGGUAGUAUGNNGGAAGAAAGAAGGUUAGUGUGNUUGUUAUAGUGGAUAAUGUGGGUGGUNUAAAAGGUGAAAAGNGGGGGGGGAGNGGGGGGUUUGAGUNUUAGUGGUAAUAGUGNGGUANAAGAGGUUUUUAGGGNAUAUUAUUNAGGAAAAGGGGGGUUUUUUGUAUUANUGNGGGGGGGGGGGGAAAUUUNUAGGGGGGNGGUUAUUUUGGGAGAAGGNAANNNUGGGGGGUUAUUAAAUUGNGGAAAAUGAGUUUNAAGAAAAAAGGGGGUUUAAAANUUGAAANGGUGGUUUUUUAUGGUGGGUGAUUAUUGAUNGGGGUUGGGGUUUUNGUNNGGUUGGGGAGNNNUUNUUUUUGGGGGNUGUGGGGGGGGGGGNGGUGGGGUAUGUGGGGGGGGGGGGGGGGNNAAUAGNGGGGAGGGGGGGAGUGGAGAUAGNNGUNAUGUGGNGNAAAGUUGUGUAGAGGGGNNAUAAAUUGGAUGUGAGAUNUGGAGGUGAGUGUNGUUUGAUUAGUUAUUNUGAGGNUAGUGUGUGUGUUAAUUGNAUUANGUNNNGUGUGAG
rnacentral:misc_RNA from 1 species